GCAACAGUUGGUAGAGCAGCUGACUCUUAAUCAGCGGGCCCAGGGUUCGAGUCCCUGGAGGUGCACCA
rnacentral:tRNA from 1 species